GGGUGGACAGACAAACAAACCACCAUAGACUUGAGGUCACUGCCUCACAUCGGGAGCAUGACGGACUUGAGUGCAGCGAGAACAGGGAUUUGCUUCCAGUUUGCUCACUGCUGCUAUUCUGGUGCCCAGAGCGGUGCCUGGCACGGAACAGAUGCUCAGUAUUUAGUGAAUGGACACCCGUUUCACAGACGAGAAAACUGAAGCCCAGAGAGACUCUGCCAGCUGCUGCGAGCUCAGGAUUCAUCAGCCCCGCGAGAAGCCCACAGCAAGCCCCUCACCCUCAGCCCAGCCCUGGCCUGAGGCCUUUGUUCCCCCUCUGGCCUGCUCUAGGUGGCAGUGGUGGUGGGCAGACAGUCUGCCCAACCCUGCUCCGAAACCCAAGGCUGGGAGGGGCCACUGGGAGCGGGGAGGAGCCUGAUUCUUCCCCCUCCCCUUCCCGGGCUACCCGCCCCCUCCUCCAGCUGGAAACUUGACACCCGAGGCCCAUCUGCCGCUCUGCCGCCCGCGGUCCUCCCGCCCCUGGAGGCCGCUGGGCCGGCGGCUGCAGAGCAGUGAUUGUUCCGGGCUGAAUGGGCAGGCCUGACGCCCACGCCAGGUGCACCAUUGUGAGGGCUCCGACACCUGCCUGGCGGGUCGCAUGCCCCGCCGGCACAGACCCUCACCCGCCUGGCUGAGAGGAGCCGCCCACUGCCUCCUGCGAGUGGGGCUGGGGGUCCGGACUCCUGCUUCUCCCCAAGGGAAAGCACCCCCGAAGGCACCCCGAACUCCUGCCUGUCUGGGGCUGCCUCCCCGGCCCCUCCAGCCCCCACCACCUCCCCUGUGCCUCCCUCGGCCUCUCAGCCUUGGUGAGGAGGGCAUGUUUUGGAAGUCAGUGGUGCUACCACUUUCUGGCUGUGACGGACAAGAGCCACAAGCUCUCUGAGCCUCAGUUUCUCAUCUGUAAAAUGGGGGUGAUCACAGAACCCACACCAUAGGAGCAUAAGAGGAUCAAAGGCUUGAGUCCGUGGGCCACGCUUAGCCCAUAGUGGGCGAUGGAGAAAGCCGGCUCUUCUUAUUGAGACCUCGCAGUGUGCAGACGGGGGCCCAGGGGAGCUAGUCUCAGCCCCCGGCAGGCCCAGCCCAGGGAGCCCCCAGCCUGCCCCCCUGCCCGCCUCCCCUUGCCCGGCCUCCCGCCCGCUCUAUGAAAAUUUAAUGCCGGGUAAUGACAGUCUGGGCUAAUGAAAGAGGCUUCUCUUCUGGCAAAAAGAGAAAAACAAACAAAAAUCAACAACCUGCAAGGGGGCAUUAACUUUUCAUGAGCUGCUCUCCCCACUGUCACCCCCCGCCCUGGCUCACCCGGGCAGCGCCAAGCCCCCUCCUUCCCCUCUUUCCCCUCCUUCUUUUAUCUUAGAGCUGGGGCUGCGGAGCCAGUGGUGAGGUCGAGCAAACUGGAGGGGACCUGGAUCUUUUGGGGGCAUCUUUCUGGGGCUCUUCCGCAGGGCAGCUGCCAGCCCUGGAAAGGGAGGAGAGCCCCCUGAGGGCUUCUGCAAAGCUGUAUUGGGCUCUGGGAUGGGGAUCCAGCCUUCAGAACCCU
rnacentral:lncRNA from 1 species